CACGGCCCAAACUCCUACGGGAGGCAGCAGUAGGGAAUCUUCCACAAUGGGCGAAAGCCUGAUGGAGCAACGCCGCGUGGGUGAAGAAGGUCUUCGGAUCGUAAAACCCUGUUGUUAGAGAAGAAAGUGCGUGAGAGUAACUGUUCACGUUUCGACGGUAUCUAACCAGAAAGCCACGGCUAACUACGUGCCAGCAGCCGCGGUAAUACGUAGGUGGCAAGCGUUAUCCGGAUUUAUUGGGCGUAAAGGGAACGCAGGCGGUCUUUUAAGUCUGAUGUGAAAGCCUUCGGCUUAACCGGAGUAGUGCAUUGGAAACUGGGAGACUUGAGUGCAGAAGAGGAGAGUGGAACUCCAUGUGUAGCGGUGAAAUGCGUAGAUAUAUGGAAGAACACCAGUGGCGAAAGCGGCUCUCUGGUCUGUAACUGACGCUGAGGUUCGAAAGCGUGGGUAGCAAACAGGAUUAGAUACCCUGGUAGUCCACGCCGUAAACGAUGAAUGCUAAGUGUUGGAGGGUUUCCGCCCUUCA
rnacentral:rRNA from 1 species